UGGAUAAAUAAAAUCUUAAAGAACAUUCAUUUGUUUUAAAUUUCAAAAGAAUAAAUUUGCUUUAAAGCAAAGUUAUUGUGCUAAAACUUUCUAGAAGAAAGCUAGAAAAUGAAAUAUUUAAUUUUCCAACUUUAAAAACUAAUUUUUUCAGAAGCAAAGAAGUAGAUAUUUCCCAACUUAAGAAACAAGUAUUAUGCUAAUUUGAAAUCCAGAUAAAUUUUGAGUUUCUUUAUAUAUUCCAGAGAUUAAUGUUCUAUGUGAGGUGCUGGUGGCAAAGCUUUUCUCCCAUUAUGUAGGAUCUCUCUUCACAUUCCUGAUUGUUUCCUUUGCUAUGAAGAAGCUUUUUAGUUUGAUACCAUCCUAUUUAUUGAUUGUUGAUUUUACUUCUUGUGCUUUAGGAGACUUGUUGAGACUACCAGGCUAAGUGAAAUGAGCCAAUUCCAAAAAACCAAAAGCUGAAUGUUCUUUUUGAUAUGCAGAUGCCAAUACAUAAUGCAGGGAGGGAAUAGAAGUUCUGUAGAUUAGACAAAGAGGAAUGAAGGGAAGGGAGGGGAAUGGGAAUAGAAAGGACAGUAGAAUGAACUGGACAUAAUUUUCCUAUGUUCACAUAUGAAUACAUGACCAAUGUAACUCCACAUCAUGUACAACGAUGAGAACAGGAUCCUACUAGAAUAAGUUAUACUUCAUGUAUCUACAGUAUGUCAAAAAAACACUCUACUGUCAUGUAUGUCUAAAAAGAACAAAUUUUAAAAAUGUAAAAAACAAACAAAAAUACAGAUAAAGAAUAUUAUAAGAAAGACCAAUCAAUACCCAUCAUGAACAUAGAGGCAAAAAUCCUUAGCAAAUCAAAUUUAGCAUAUAUAAAAAAGAUAAUACAUGAUAAACAAGGGAUUAUUCAAGGAUAUGAUGCUAGUUUAUAUUUUAAAAUUAAUGAAUCCAAUUCAUCAUAGUAGCAGAACAAAAAAGAAAAAUGUUAUCACCUUAAUAGAUGGAUAAGAAAAAACAUAAACCAAAUCCAAUUUAUGGCUCAGUAGUAAAGCACUUGCCUGGCACGUGUAAGGCACUGGGUUCAAUACUCAGCACCACAUAAAAAUAAAAAAUAAAAUAAAGAUAUUGUGUCCAUCUACAAAUAUAAACAAACAAAUAAAUAAAUAUCUUCAACCAACUAGAACUGAAGAGAACUUUCUUAUUGUAAUAAUGGGCAUCUAUGAAAAAAAUCUAAUAUCUUAAAUAAUAGUAGAAAGAUGCAUUCUUUCCUCAUAAGAUUAGGAAGAAUGUGAACAUGUCCAAAUUUACUGCUUCUGUUUAACAUUGUCCUGGAGAUCCCAGCCUGUGCCUUAAUGAAAGAGAAAUAAAUAAAAGGCAUAUGUAAUGAAAAGGGAAGAAUUUGUCAUAGAUAAAUUUACACCUGGUCCCUGAGAUUAUGUAUGACACAUUCAGGCAAAAUGGAUGAAGAAGGGACAUGGAAACCUUGGUUGUCACUUCAUAUAGCUGCACAAUGAUGAGUGAUAUUUUGUACUUAUGUAGUUUGCUUGUCCAAUAUGUAAAAAAUACUUUAAACUAAAUUUAAACAUGUAUGAAAUCUUUCAGUGCCUAAACAUUGUACCAGAUAAUUUGGGCAGCUACAUAAUUCAUUCUCAUAAAUAUCAAAGCAAAUUUGCACACAGUUAAUUUCAGUUGGUACCCACCUCAUACACACCACCCAGUAAGCACAAAUAACAUUAUUUAUUCUUUAUAGAGAAUCUGAGGAUGUUGUCUAUGUGUGCAUAUGUGUUGUGGGAUAUUUUAAAUGUUAGAAGACUAAAAAUUUUAAUGAAUCUUAGGAGGAAAAACCAAAAAUGAAUAUUCUAAGAAUUAGUUUAUCAUAUGCAUUACAUUUAACAACAUAAAUUCUGUAAACUACUGCAUUGAUAAAAUCAUGGUAUUUAUAAUUCCAGAUUUGGGUUUAUUAUUACACUACAAUUCUUAUAUUUGAAGAUAACCUAUGAUUUUUUAAUAGAUUCUAUCUAUGUUUUUAACAACUAUACUGAACCUUCUUUUCUAGAUAUAUUACAAAGGUGAGACAGCAUUAUUUUUUGCUCUUACUGCUUCUACUUUUGGAUUCAUAAAAAAAAAAAGAAAGAAAGAAAAAGGAAAAAGUCACCCCCCAAGAUGAAUGCCAGGAAAUUUUUCCAUUUUCCCUUGUUUUCUUUUAGUAGCUUCACAGUUUGGGGGUCUUAUAUGUAAGUCUUUGAUACAUUUUGAGUUAAUUUUGUAAAUGAAUGUGUAGAUUUGAAUUUUCACCUGGGUUUACUUGUUUAAAAUUCCUUCAGUAUUUCUUGAAAAGUAAACAUUUUAGAAACAAAGGAUAUCAUGUUUUGUUAAUCUUGGAAUUUUUUAUUUCAACUUCACUUUUGAAAGAUUGUUUUACUGGGCUUAAGAUUCUUCAUUAAUAGUUUUUGUUUUCUUUCUCAGCACUUUAGUUUUUCACUACCUUCUGGCUUCCAUUUUUCUGGUAAGAACUUUGCUAUUGAUCUUCCUGACUCAAAUAUUUACUAGAAAUUAACAAUAAAU
rnacentral:lncRNA from 1 species